GUGGGGAAUAUUGGACAAUGGGGGGAACCCUGAUCCAGCCAUGCCGCGUGUGUGAAGAAGGCCUUUUGGUUGUAAAGCACUUUAAGCGAGGAGGAGGCUACCGAGAUUAAUACUCUUGGAUAGUGGACGUUACUCGCAGAAUAAGCACCGGCUAACUCUGUGCCAGCAGCCGCGGUAAUACAGAGGGUGCAAGCGUUAAUCGGAUUUACUGGGCGUAAAGCGCGCGUAGGUGGCCAAUUAAGUCAAAUGUGAAAUCCCCGAGCUUAACUUGGGAAUUGCAUUCGAUACUGGUUGGCUAGAGUAUGGGAGAGGAUGGUAGAAUUCCAGGUGUAGCGGUGAAAUGCGUAGAGAUCUGGAGGAAUACCGAUGGCGAAGGCAGCCAUCUGGCCUAAUACUGACACUGAGGUGCGAAAGCAUGGGGAGCAAACAGGAUUAGAUACCUUGGUAGUCC
rnacentral:rRNA from 1 species